GACGAACGCUGGCGGCGUGCUUAACACAUGCAAGUCGAGCGGUAAGGCCUUUCGGGGUACCCGAGCGGCGAACGGGUGAGUAACACGUGGGUGAUCUGCCCUGCACUUCGGGAUAAGCCUGGGAAACUGGGUCUAAUACCGGAUAUGACCUCCUAUCGCAUGGUGGGUGGUGGAAGAUUUAUCGGUGCAGGAUGGGCCCGCGGCCUAUCAGCUUGUUGGUGGGGUAAUGGCCUACCAAGGCGACGACGGGUAGCCGACCUGAGAGGGUGACCGGCCACACUGGGACUGAGACACGGCCCAGACUCCUACGGGAGGCAGCAGUGGGGAAUAUUGCACAAUGGGCGAAAGCCUGAUGCAGCGACGCCGCGUGAGGGAUGACGGCCUUCGGGUUGUAAACCUCUUUCAGCAGGGACGAAGCGCAAGUGACGGUACCUGCAGAAGAAGCACCGGCUAACUACGUG
rnacentral:rRNA from 1 species